rnacentral:rRNA from 1 species
UACGUAGGGGGCAAGCGUUGUCCGGAAUCAUUGGGCGUAAAGAGCGUGUAGGCGGUCCGGUAAGUCGGUUGUGAAAGCCCAGGGCUCAACCCUGGGAUGCCGACCGAUACUGUCGGACUAGAGUUCGGAAGAGGCGAGUGGAAUUCCCGGUGUAGCGGUGAAAUGCGCAGAUAUCGGGAGGAACACCUAUGGCGAAGGCGGUUCUCUGGGCCUGUACUGACGCUGAGGAGCGAAAGCGUGGGGAGCGAACAGG